GUCAUUUGGACCAGAUGUUCUGAAACAGAGAUAUAUUUAAAAUAUGCAGGGCAGGACAGGAGGACGGGGAUUGAGAAACGCCGCCAUUAAGAUUUUCUCUAUGGCCCAGAGUCACUGGAACGACGUCGCUUGUUGCUAAGCCUCUUAAAGGCAAAAAAUAAAAAUAAAAAAUGAACCAGUUUCAACUCAGGCGACUGCUCUGCUCACCUGAGCUCGAUCCAAGCCCCGUCUCUGCUGGUGGAAGGCAGCUGAACUUUUAAGUGCUGGAAGGAUGAAGACAUGAAAGGGAGAGGAAAAAGCACAGUGGCCAUUAAUGCUGCCGCCUGCCGAUUGACGCACCUGAGGAGAGCAAGACGGCUCCAGAUGGAUCUUCCCUUCAUCGGUUAAGCACAAACAAAGUUAUUGAUGGGCAUAAUUAUCGCUGUUUUUUACAGCCAAAGCUCUGCCUGAUUACCGAUUCAGCACAAGUUAAUGUCUGCCGUCGUUUUGCAGACUUUUAUAUCUUUGCACAAUGAUGAAAUAAAAUGCGUCGUAUUUUUGGGAAGUGGUUCCGAGAGCAGCUGCUGGGAACGGGUAAGAAAUCACUCGAAGUGGAAAUGCAAAGAGUCCAAAACGCUGAGCUGAAGCAGCCGAACUUCUGGAAACUACAGGUUGAUUGUCAGAUUGUCCUGCAGACAUGUAUUUGUGUCGUUCCGCAGUCGGCCGCAGUUACAAUCACAACACAAUGUGUGCGCCACAUAGUAAGAACCUGCGCUCGUACUAUACUAAACACUUGCCGUGUGAUUUUCGCUCGGAGACGGCAGGAAAGUGAUGCAACGUGCCGAGUCUAUUUCGGGAGCGUGUGCUCAUCGCUCAAAUGUCAGCGUGCGGCACCGCAAUGAAGGGGGAGCAGAUUCUGAAGUCUCAUCGUUUUAUUUACCCGAAAUUCUUUGUUUUUAUUAUUAUUGUUUUUUUCUGUUAGGGGUCACAGGGAGGCCGCAGAGGGAGCAGCUGCAGACUCAUUUUUGUUCUGCUACAUUAAGUGGAAAAGAAAAUAAUGUAGUGUCAAAAUUUGUCCAAAUAAAUGUAUAUCUGAAUAG